rnacentral:rRNA from 1 species
GAUGAACGCUGGCGGCGUGCCUAAUACAUGCAGGUCGAGCGAACGGACGAGAAGCUUGCUUCUCUGAUGUUAGCGGCGGACGGGUGAGUAACACGUGGAUAACCUACCUAUAAGACUGGGAUAAUUUCGGGAAACCGGAGCUAAUACCGGAUAAUAUUUUGAACCGCAUGGUUCAAAAGUGAAAGACGGUCUUGCUGUCACUUAUAGAUGGAUCCGCGCUGCAUUAGCUAGUUGGUAAGGUAGCGGCUUACCAAGGCAACGAUGCAUAGCCGACCUGAGAGGGUGAUCAGCCACACUGGAACUGAGACACGGUCCAGACUCCUACGGGAGGCAGCAGUAGGGAAUCUUCCGCAAUGGGCGAAAGCCUGACGGAGCAACGCCGCGUGAGUGAUGAAGGUCUUCGGAUCGUAAAACUCUGUUAUUAGGGAAGAACAUAUGUGUAAGUAACUGUGCACAUCUUGACGGUACCUAAUCAGAAAGCCACGGCUAACUACGUG